rnacentral:rRNA from 1 species
GUAGGUGGGCAAGCGUUGUCCGGAAUUAUUGGGCGUAAAGCGCGCGCAGGGCGGUCCUUUAAGUCUGAUGUGAAAGCCCACGGCUCAACCGUGGAGGGUCAUUGGAAACUGGGGGACUUGAGUACAGAAGAGGAAAGCGGAAUUCCAAGUGUAGCGGUGAAAUGCGUAGAGAUUUGGAGGAACACCAGUGGCGAAGGCGGCUUUCUGGUCUGUAACUGACGCUGAGGCGCGAAAGCGUGGGGAGCAAACAGGAUUAGAUACCCUGGUAGUCCACGCCGUAAACGAUGAGUGCUAAGUGUUAGGGGGUUUCCGCCCCUUAGUGCUGCAGCUAACGCAUUAAGCACUCCGCCUGGGGAGUACGGCCGCAAAGGCUG